rnacentral:rRNA from 1 species
AUUGAACGCUGGCGGCAGGCCUUACACAUGCAAGUCGAACGAGUGGCGAACGGGUGAGUAACGUCUGGGAAACUGCCUGGUAGAGGGGGAUAACUACUGGAAACGGUAGCUAAUACCGCAUAUCAUUGGAUGUGCCCAGGUGGGAUUAGCUAGUAGGUGGGGUAAAGGCCCACAAAGGCGACGAUCCGUAGCGGGUCUGAGAGGAUGACCAGCCAACCUGGGACUGAGACAGGGUCAAGACUCCUACGGGAGGCAGCAGUGGGGAAUAUUGCACAAUGGGCGCAAGCCUGAUGCAGCCAUGCCGCGUGUAUGAAGAAGGCCUUCGGGUUGUAAAGUACUUUCAGCGGGGAGGCGUUACCCGCAGAAUAAGCACCGGCUAACUACGUGCCAGCAGCCGCGGUAAUUC